UCACAACUUCUAAUGAUUUUUUAGGCAAGCUGGAGGGCCUGUUGAUGCAGGACCUGAAUUUCAGAAAGAAAUGAAUGAAUCCCUUGCAAGACUCCAGCGGGCGUAUGGUGAGGGAGAUCUAACCAAGUUCCCAGAAUUUAAAUUUGAGGAGCCCAAAUUUGAGGAGGCUCCAAAGUGAUCUCUGCAGCCGUGUACAGCCAUGGUGUUGCUGAACAGGGCACCUGUUGUAUCUUAAUAAAUACAGUGUUUGAGUUUGA